rnacentral:rRNA from 1 species
AGCGAACGCUGGCGGCAGGCUUAACACAUGCAAGUCGAGCGGGCACUUCGGUGUCAGCGGCAGACGGGUGAGUAACACGUGGGAACGUACCCUUCGGUUCGGAAUAACGCUGGGAAACUAGCGCUAAUACCGGAUACGCCCUUUUGGGGAAAGGUUUACUGCCGAAGGAUCGGCCCGCGUCUGAUUAGCUAGUUGGUGGGGUAAUGGCCUACCAAGGCGACGAUCAGUAGCUGGUCUGAGAGGAUGAUCAGCCACACUGGGACUGAGACCCGGCCCAGACUCCUACGGGAGGCAGCAGUGGGGAAUAUUGGACAAUGGGCGCAAGCCUGAUCCAGCCAUGCCGCGUGAGUGAUGAAGGCCUUAGGGUUGUAAAGCUCUUUUGUCCGGGACGAUAAUGACGGUACCGGAAGAAUAAGCCCCGGCUAACUUCGUG